rnacentral:rRNA from 2 species
GUCGAACGGCAGCACGGGGGGCAACCCCUGGUGGCGAGUGGCGAACGGGUGAGUAAUAUAUCGGAACGUACCCUGCAGCGGGGGAUAACGCGUCGAAAGAUGUGCUAAUACCGCAUACGCUCUACGGAGGAAAGCGGAGGACCGCAAGGCUUCGCACUGCAGGAGCGGCCGAUAUCGGAUUAGCUAGUUGGCGGGGUAACGGCCCACCAAGGCGACGAUCCGUAGCUGGUCUGAGAGGACGAUCAGCCACACUGGAACUGACACACGGUCCAGACUCCUACGGGAGGCAGCAGUGGGGAAUUUUGGACAAUGGGCGCAAGCCUGAUCCAGCCAUGCCGCGUGAGUGAAGAAGGCCUUCGGGUUGUAAAGCUCUUUCGGCGGGGACGAAACGGUUCGUGCUAACACCACGGACUAAUGACGGUACCCGAAGAAGAAGCACCGGCUAACUACGUGCCAGCAGCCGCGGUAAUACGUAGGGUGCAGGCGUUAAUCGGAAUUACUGGGCGUAAAGCGUGCGCAGGCGGUUUCCUAAGUCAGAUGUGAAAGCCCCGGGCUUAACCUGGGAACUGCGUUUGAAACUGGGAGACUCGAGUGUGGCAGAGGGGGGUGGAAUUCCACGUGUAGCAGUGAAAUGCGUAGAUAUGUGGAGGAACACCGAUGGCGAAGGCAGCCCCCUGGGUUAACACUGACGCUCAUGC